CACUCAGACAGCAGCUGCGGCCUAGCCCCCAGGCUUCACUUGGUGUGGACGACUCGCUAAGUAAAGUGGGGGGUGGGCCACGGCUGGCUCCUACCUGGAC
rnacentral:pre_miRNA from 1 species